rnacentral:rRNA from 1 species
GACGAACGCUGGCGGCGUGCUUAACACAUGCAAGUCGAGCGGUAAGGCCCUUCGGGUACGACGAGCGGCGAACGGGUAGAGUAACACGUGGGUGACCUGCCUCUAGCUCUGGGAUAAGCCUGGGAAACUGGGUCUAAUACCGGAUAUGACUCCACGGCGCAUGUUGUGGGGUGGAAAGCCUUGUGUGGCUAGAGAUGGGCCCGCGGCCUAUCAGCUUGUUGGUGGGGGUAUGGCCUACCAAGGCGACGACGGGUAGCCGGCCUGAGAGGGCGACCGGCCACACUGGGACUGAGACACGGCCCAGACUCCUACGGGAGGCAGCAGUGGGGAAUCUUGCGCAAUGGGCGAAAGCCUGACGCAGCGACGCCG